rnacentral:ribozyme from 12 species
GUUUUUUCUUUCUUUCUCUCUCUUUCUCUCUCUCUCUCUUUUUCUCCCUUUUAUUUGAGGAGUGUUUAUGAAUUCACAGGAAG